CUUUAGGACCCGGAGACCUCUUACUCUGCCCUCUGGGCUUUUAGCUGCCUCUUGCCUUCCAGGCAGUGCAGCACCUCUUCUGCCUUCCUGUCCACCCCUCCUCCUGUUUCUGUACCACCUUGGGUGCAGCCUGCAUAACUGGUUCCUAUACCAUCCUCUGCGUCUCUGCCAAGGUUUGUUCCUCCUCCACCCCUCAGUGUCAAGGAGCAAAGAGAGCUUUUUGGGCUUAGACCGCCCACUUCAGAUUUCCUCACCAGCGUCCCAGGAAGGUCUGCUGUGUAUCCUCAUCUUGAAGGUAGUGGCCUUAUGAAGAAGAGGUCCUGUAGUGCUCUGCUAUGCAGUGUCCCCUGUUCACCAGACCUGAUGCUUCAUGGAUGCCUGGUAUGUAUUUUGCGUAUAUCCUGGUGUUACAGUUGAGCUGUGUUUGCCUUCAGUCUGCUUGGCUGCAGUUGCCCUCUUAACCUGGUGUGGGCAGGGUUUGGUCUCUGUGUGGUUAAAGGGC
rnacentral:lncRNA from 1 species